rnacentral:rRNA from 1 species
GGGGGCUGCAGUGAGGAAUAUUGCGCAAUGGGGGAAACCCUGACGCAGCGACGCCGCGUGAGUGAGGAAGGCCUUCGGGUCGUAAAGCUCUGUCAAGAGGAAAGAAGUGUACAAUGGCUAAUACCUGUUGUAUUUGACGGUACCUCUAAAGGAAGCACCGGCUAACUCCGUGCCAGCAGCCGCGGUAAUACGGAGGGUGCAAGCGUUGUUCGGAAUCACUGGGCGUAAAGGGCGCGUAGGCGGCUAGGUAAGUCAGGUGUGAAAACUUUUGGCUCAACCAGGAGACUGCACCUGAAACUGCGUAGCUUGAGGGUAGGAGAGGAAAGUGGAAUUCCUAGUGUAGCGGUGAAAUGCGUAGAUAUUAGGAGGAACACCAGUGGCGAAGGCGACUUUCUGGCCUAACCCUGACGCUGAGGCGCGAAAGCGUGGGGAGCAAACAGGAUUAGAUACCCCU